CUCCACUACACAGUCCCACCCCACAACUUUUCUUUGCCCACUGGGAGAUAAUGAGUACUGAAGAACUCACUCAAAAGAAAAGCAUUGAGAGGCAUGUACAGCAAACGACUCACUGUCCUCAUAAAGAUGCAUUGAUUGAAAUGCUUUUCUAUGGGAAGCACUACUGUUUUGUGCUGAACCACAAAGCAAUCAGGAUAAGCAGGUGGGAGAAUGCAACCUUGUCACUUUAUGAAAGUGCCA